UACAGGUGGUGGCAUGGUUGUCGUCAGCUCGUGCCGUGAGGUGUGGGUUAAGUCCCGCAACGAGCGCAACCCCUAUUGCUAGUUACUAACAUUCAGUUGAGGACUCUAGUGAGACUGCCAGUGACAAACCGGAGGAAGGUGGGGAUGACGUCAAAUCAUCAUGCCCUUUAUGACCUGGGCUACAAACGUACUACAAUGGCCAAUACAAAGAGAUGCGAAGUCGCGAGAUGGAGCGAACCUCAAAAAAAUGGUCUCAGUUCAGAUUGAAGUCUGCAACUCGACUUCAUGAAGGCGGAAUCGCUAGUAAUCGCGGGUCAGCAGACCGCGGUGAAUACGUUCCCGGGUUUU
rnacentral:rRNA from 1 species